GGACUACAGGGGUUUCUAAUCCUGUUUGCUCCCCACGCUUUCGCACCUCAGCGUCAGUACCGGACCAGUAAGCCGCCUUCGCCACUGGUGUUCUUCCGAAUAUCUACGAAUUUCACCUCUACACUCGGAGUUCCACUUACCUCUUCCGGACUCGAGAUCCCCAGUAUCAAAGGCAGUUCUGGAGUUGAGCUCCAGGAUUUCACCCCUGACUUAAAGAUCCGCCUACGUGCGCUUUACGCCCAGUGAUUCCGAGCAACGCUAGCCCCCUUCGUAUUACCGCGGCGGCUGGCAC
rnacentral:rRNA from 1 species